rnacentral:lncRNA from 1 species
CGGGAGGGGCCUUUUGGCAGCUAUCCAUUUGGAGCGUAGCUGGCACUUGUUAGUUUCUCAAGGUUAAGUUUCAAGGAUUUUAGUAAAUACACAUUUUAUCAAAGCUAUUUCUUGCUGACAUGCAAAUUCUAUGUUCUAUAGACAAAGCUUCCUUGUAAAACUAUGGGGGCCUCUUAGAGGUAUAACAAGAGGAUUUAAAGGGGCCUUACAGAUUUAUAGAGGCCUAAUAAUUCUACAACAGUCCCCCCUAAAAUGUUAUUUGCUAAAAGACAAAACUUUAUUUGUUAGUAUCAGAAGAAGUAUUAGCCCAAAGACACAGAAACCCCAUGACCGCUGACUUAGUGUUAAUGCAAAGUGCAAGUCUAUCCCUCUCUUGACCCUAACAGGCUGCAGCACAUCCGUCAGUACGGUUCAGGAACACUCUUCACUCCGCUGGUAACCCAUAGUGGCUUAUCCACUACUUCUCCGUACGGCAGUCUACCCAUAAAGACGGACGCUGUCCCUGUACUGUCCCUUCCUAGACUUUCUGCACUUCAUCAGUAUAAGGGAGAGUUUGUAGCGGAAUACAGGGUGAGAUGAGGUCUUGAUCAUCGAUUGUCAGAUGAGUGAAGGUUGGUGUUGCUUGGUCUACAGUUUUCUGCAGGAAUUUCCUUAGGCAUGGGAGGACACAACAAAUGAGAAGAGCGAGAAUAAAAAGAAAAAUUAGUAAGGCAAUACCAAUCUGGACUAAAGCUCUCUGCCAACCAGUCAUCCAACCAAACCAUUUUUCCCAGGGAUCAGUAACUCCAGAGUGUCUCUUUAACUCUUCUGAGAGUCUGUUUAAUUUAGCUAUGGCCAGAGUGACUUUACCAUUAGGACCUGUGUUUUCUGGAAUGUAAGUGCAACAAGUCAUAGUGUCGGGAAGUAUUUUACAGACUCCCCCUUUUUCGGCUAAGAUCAUGUCUAAGGCCAGUCUGUUCUGGAAGGUCAUUUGGGAUGUGGCCUGUAAUUGCUCGGCCAAGCCCUGGAGGGCAUCCCUGGUGUAGUUCACGAAGCGCUGUUGGUUGUAAUAGAUAGAAUUAAUCCAAUUAAGGUUUUUGUUGGCAGUGACUAUGGUAAAAAGUGAUUCAAAACCUACAGCUACUUCAUCUCUAGCUUUAAAUUCAUUAGGUACCCCCCUAGGCACCCCAAUGGCAUCUAUGUAAAUGUGGGGGUCAAAACUGCCUUUUACUGGGGUUUCGCGCCUUACUCUGGCUGAUGUAUGUGGAGGGUCGUAUGUGUCAUGAUGAUUAUCAGAAAUAAUAUGAAUGGGCAUGAUAACUUUGGCCAGGGUACACUCACCCCACCACUCAGUUUCCAGCCUAGAUCUUAACUGUAGAUCCCCACAUAACCAGUAAAUAUCCCC